UGGGGAAUCUUGCGCAAUGGACGAAAGUCUGACGCAGCCACGCCGCGUGAGUGAAGAAGGCCUUCGGGUUGUAAAGCUCUGUCGUGCGGGACGAAAAGCCAGUCGGUUAACAGUCGAUUGGCCUGACGGUACCGCAAAGGAAGCACCGGCUAACUCCGUGCCAGCAGCCGCGGUAAUACGGAGGGUGCAAGCGUUGCUCGGAAUUAUUGGGCGUAAAGGGUAGGGUAGGGUGGGUCUCAUUUGUCUGGGGUGAAAUCCUUGAGCUUAACUCAAGAAGUGCCCCCAGAAACGGUGAGACUAGAGUGCUGGAGAGGGUCGUGGAAUUCCCGGUGUAGCGGUGAAAUGCGUAGAGAUCGGGAGGAACACCAGAGGCGAAGGCGGCGACCUGGACAGUGACUGACACUCAACUACGAAAGCGUGGGGAGCAAACAGGAUUAGAUACCCUGGUAGUCCACGCUGUAAACGAUGGGUACUAGGCUUGGUGGGUCUUGACCCCUGCCGAGCCGGCGCUAACGCAAUAAGUACCCCCGCC
rnacentral:rRNA from 1 species